rnacentral:rRNA from 1 species
UAAGGAAUAUUGGUCAAUGGAGGCAACUCUGAACCAGCCAUGCCGCGUGGAGGAUGAAGGUCCUCUGGAUUGUAAACUUCUUUUAUAUGGGACGAAAAAAGGCUUUUCUAAGUCGUCUGACGGUACCAUAUGAAUAAGCACCGGCUAACUCCGUGCCAGCAGCCGCGGUAAUACGGAGGGUGCAAGCGUUAUCCGGAUUCACUGGGUUUAAAGGGUGCGUAGGUGGGUUGGUAAGUCAGUGGUGAAAUCCCCGAGCUUAACUUGGGAACUGCCAUUGAUACUAUCAGUCUUGAAUACCGUGGAGGUCGGCGGAAUAUGUCAUGUAGCGGUGAAAUGCUUAGAUAUGACAUAGAACACCAAUUGCGAAGGCAGCUGGCUACGCGGAUAUUGACACUGAGGCACGAAAGCGUGGGGAUCAAACAGGAUUAGAUACCCUGGUAGUCCACGCCCUAAACUAUGGAUACUCGACAUUUGCGAUAAACUGUAAGUGUCUGAGCGAAAGCAUUAAGUAUCCCACCUGGGAAGUACGAUCGCAAGAUUG